rnacentral:rRNA from 1 species
AUCGUAACUCCUACGGGAGGCAGCAGUGGGGAAUUUUGGACAAUGGGGGCAACCCUGAUCCAGCAAUGCCGCGUGAGUGAAGAAGGUCUUCGGAUUGUAAAGCACUUUAAGUUGGGAGGAAGGGCAUUAACCUAAUACGUUGGUGUCUUGACGUUACCGACAGAAUUAGCACCGGCUAACUCUGUACCAGCAGCCGCGGUAAUACAGAGGGUGCAAGCGUUAAUCGGAAUUACUGGGCGUAAAGCGCGCGUAGGUGGUUUGUUAAGUUGAAUGUGAAAUCCCCGGGCUCAACCUGGGAACUGCAUCCAAAACUGGCAAGCUAGAGUAUGGUAGAGGGUAGUGGAACUUCCUGUGUAGCGGUGAAAUGCGUAGAUAUAGGAAGGAACACCAGUGGCGAAGGCGACUACCUGGACUGAUACUGACACUGAGGUGCGAAAGCGUGGGGAGCAAACAGGAUUAGAAACCCCAGUAGUCCUAGAGC